rnacentral:sRNA from 1 species
UCAUUAAUAAUUAGUCAUUAGAAAUGUUUAGUUUAUAUCAUCCUAAUUAAACAAAUAGAUGAGCGAAUUGAAUGAAUCAACUCUCAAUACAUUGUUUCUAUAUAAUUUUGUUUGUUUUAUUAAAUCUACCAGGUUGAGUUGACCUCUACUGCCUAUUUUGCUGACUCCAUUCAUUUUGCUGAUGAAAUCAAAAUAGGAACCCUACCAUUGACUAACAUCUCCUCAGCAUUACCGAUAACUGACCAACCAUAUGCUCGUGCUGGACGACAUUUACUGCCCAUUGGCUAUCCCAUGCCUGAAAUUCGAGGACCAGCUACCACUCCCAAUGGUCAUAUCGAUGCUAUCAACUGGCCACCGAGCGAUGCUGAGUCUGGAGCCGUAGCAACUCGUUUCCACGCCUACAAUGGUCACGUUCAACAGCGGUCAACUCCGUCAAAUUCUUCCAUCUGGUGAAAGGAAAGGUUACUGCCAACUCUUCUCCAUUCCAGAUGCACAAAACUAUGUUGGAAGUAUCAGCGAGACGUUUCUGGUUACAGUGAUCACAAGACAUGGACCCAGAGACCAAGCAAUAAUACUUUGAAGAUCUGUGAUCGUUAAUCCCACACUAAACGUCCAGAAAUUCAGCUGGUCACUCACAGCAUCAUAGUUAUGAGAAUUUGAUUUUUAAAUUGAUCACAUGGUUGUAUAAAAUUGGUGCAAACCUUCUCAUGUAUAUAGAUACGAUAUAAAAUCUAGUUUUUAAUGUCUGUAGUGAGCUGGACAGCAUUUUGUUUUAGCGUAAAUAAUUUUGUGUAAUAAGUUUAGUUCUAUGAACUCAUGUAAGCAUCUCUUUAUAGAAGCUUAUAUUGAGUGCAUCUAUAAAUAGUAAGUAUUGAGGUGUUAUUACUAAAAGCUGUAAUCUAUAACAUUAUAAAGAAUUAAUUAUUAUUUAAGCUUAAUAUUCUAUGUCUUAAAUACGUGUACAUACGUAUGUGUACUUUUUGGGUGCACAAUGACACACAUAUUGGUUAACACAUAAUCUUGUAAUAGUUAACACAUUAUAUUUAUGUAUAAUUUAUAUCUAUAUUCCAAGGUGUUUGAGCUUCAUAUGUUUUUUUAUUUAUUGAUUGUAAAAACAAUAUUACAAUAAAAAUAAGAAAACCUUGGUAAGCUGUCUGACAGUUUUUUUUUUACCAUUUGGCAAAACUCAACUGUCGGUUAGAAUGUAAAGGCAUGGGCGGGAGAUAGUGGUGGGAGCGGGACUUGUGAAACAAAGAAUUCGCAAACAUUUACAAUUUUAAACGGUGAAGCUUGAAUUGAAAUAGUCCUUAAAGUGUGAAUGUUGUCAUGUUUUUGUUUUGUUUCAUGGGAGGAGGGAAGGUCUUAUUAAAGUAUCUGAAGCUAAAGGUAGUUCUAAACAAGUUGUGAAAGAUAGAGAAAAAAAAAGUAAAGUAUUCCUUUCAGACCUUGCGAUCUAUAGGCAGAUGAUAUAAAGGUCUUCUGUUUCUAUGAGAGUAAAUGACUUGGACAAUUUAUUGUUUUGGUGUCUAUUAUAAAUGUUGCUGGACUUCGACAUUUUCGUGGGUAGUAUCAAGUAGAGUUAUGUUAGUGGGCAGCCAAUCCUCGUUUAGAAAUGUUUAAAUAUAUUAAUUAUUAUGAAUUUCCAUUUUGAAGUUGUUACUUCUUGGAGUAGAUACACGAUGGUUGGCGUUUCUGCGGUUAAUAUUGUUUUAUACUUUAUAGUUAUAAAUAAGUAUUGGUGACAUCUAAACACAUAAAUAAUAUUAAUGUAGCUUUCGCAAUGACCAACAUUGUCCAUAUUGUCUCAUUUAUAUCAAACCAAUUCAAUUAAUGGUGAUAAUGUUUUGUACAAUAAAAAUCAUCAAUAAAAUUAUACAAUUCA